CCGGAGUCCGCCUUCUCGAAGCCCAGGGAGUGGCCGAGAGCGCAGGGCAGCCGGCGGCGGCGAGGGGCGCGGGGAUCGCCCGGGGGGGCUGCCGUGGGUCCUCCGCCCGGCGCGCGCUGUCCAGUCUUCAGACGGCUUGGCUCUUAACUGUCUACGCCUCAUGGUGGGAAGAACUCACAAUUUAUCAAGUUGGAUAAUGAAGCUACAUGGUGACAGGCUGACCCAGGGAGCUAGAAAGUCAUCCUCUCCUCAUUUGCUCACUCCCCAGUGCUCCAUCCAGAGCAGCCCAGGAUGGGAGGAGAAACCAUGUCACAACAGGCACAAACCCAGAUCAGCUCCCUUCCUGGCCAAGGGGCCCUCCCGUCUCGUCUCAGUCCCAAACCCCCACUUCCCAGCCUCACUCAAGAUCUCACACAGGAAUGACUUGAGGGUUUCUCCCAAAGUCCUGAUUCCCAAGCUGCACCCCACCCCCCACAUCCCCCAACCCC